rnacentral:rRNA from 1 species
UGGGGAAUUUUGGACAAUGGGCGAAAGCCUGAUCCAGCAAUGCCGCGUGUGUGAAGAAGGCCUUCGGGUUGUAAAGCACUUUUGUCCGGAAAGAAAUCCUUGGCUCUAAUACAGUCGGGGGAUGACGGUACCGGAAGAAUAAGCACCGGCUAACUACGUGCCAGCAGCCGCGGUAAUACGUAGGGUGCAAGCGUUAAUCGGAAUUACUGGGCGUAAAGCGUGCGCAGGCGGUUGCUAAGACCGAUGUGAAAUCCCCGGGCUCAACCUGGGAACUGCAUUGGUGACUGGCAGGCUAGAGUAUGGCAGAGGGGGGUAGAAUUCCACGUGUGAGCAGUGAAAGUGCGUAGAGAUGUGGAGGAAUACCGAUGGCGAAGGCAGCCCCUGGGCCAAUACUGACGCUCAUGCACG